rnacentral:rRNA from 1 species
UUCCAUUAGAUAGUAGGCGGGGUAACGGCCCACCUAGUCUUCGAUGGAUAGGGGUUCUGAGAGGAAGGUCCCCCACAUUGGAACUGAGACACGGUCCAAACUCCUACGGGAGGCAGCAGUGAGGAAUAUUGGUCAAUGGGCGAGAGCCUGAACCAGCCAAGUAGCGUGAAGGAUGACUGCCCUAUGGGUUGUAAACUUCUUUUAUAAAGGAAUAAAGUCGGGUAUGUAUACCCGUUUGCAUGUACUUUAUGAAUAAGGAUCGGCUAACUCCGUGCCAGCAGCCGCGGUAAUACGGAGGAUCCGAGCGUUAUCCGGAUUUAUUGGGUUUAAAGGGAGCGUAGAUGGAUGUUUAAGUCAGUUGUGAAAGUUUGCGGCUCAACCGUAAAAUUGCAGUUGAUACUGGAUAUCUUGAGUGCAGUUGAGGCAGGCGGAAUUCGUGGUGUAGCGGUGAAAUGCUUAGAUAUCACGAAGAACUCCGAUUGCGAAGGCAGCCUGCUAAGCUGCAACUGACAUUGAGGCUCGAAAGUGUGGGUAUCAAACAGGAUUAGAUACCCUGGUAGUCCACACGGUAAACGAUGAAUACUCGCUGUUUGCGAUAUACUGCAAGCGGCCAAGCGAAAGCGUUAAGUAUUCCACCUGGGGAGUACGCCGGCAACGGUGAAACUCAAAGGAAUUGACGGGGGCCCGCACAAGCGGAGGAACAUGUGGUUUAAUUCGAUGAUACGCGAGGAACCUUACCCGGGCUUAAAUUGCAGAUGAAUUACGGUGAAAG